rnacentral:rRNA from 1 species
UACGUAGGGUGCGAGCGUUUGUCCGGAAUUAUUGGGCGUAAAGAGCUCGUAGGUGGUUUGUCGCGUUGUUCGUGAAAUCUCACGGCUUAACUGUGAGCGUGCGGGCGAUACGGGCAGACUUGAGUACUGCAGGGGAGACUGGAAUUCCUGGUGUAGCGGUGAAAUGCGCAGAUAUCAGGAGGAACACCGGUGGCGAAGGCGGGUCUCUGGGCCGAAACUGACGCUGAGGAGCGAAAGCGUGGGGAGCAAACAGG